AUUGAACGCUGGCGGCAGGCCUAACACAUGCAAGUCGAGCGAGUGGCGGACGGGUGAGUAAUGUAUGGGGACUGCCCGAUAGAGGGGGAUAACUACUGGAAACGGUGUCUACUACCGCAUACUAUCGGAUAACCCAUAUGGGAUUAGCUAGUAGGGGGGGUAAAGGCUCACCUAGGCGACGAUCCCUGGCUGGUCUGAGAGGAUGACCAGCCACACGGGGACUGAGACACGGCCCAGACUCCUACGGAGGCAGCAGUGGGGAAUAUUGCACAAUGGGCGCAAGCCUGAUGCAGCCAUGCCGCGUGUAUGAAGAAGGCCCUAGGGUUGUAAAGUACUUUCAGUCGGGAGGCGUUACCGACAGAAGAAGCACCGGCUAACUCCGUGCCAGCAGCCGCGGUAAGAC
rnacentral:rRNA from 1 species